GUUGUAUAGUCAAGUAAUUAAGUGCAUGUGGUGGAUGCCUUGGCAGUCAGAGGCGAUGAAAGACGUGAUAGCCUGCGAAAAGCUCCGGGGAGGCGGCAAAUAUCCUUUGAUCCGGAGAUGUCUGAAUGGGGGAACCCACCUACUUUAAGGUAGGUAUUGCAACAUGAAUACAUAGUGUUGCAAGGCGAACGAGGGGAAGUGAAACAUCUCAGUACCCUUAGGAAAAGAAAUCAAUUGAGAUUCCCUCAGUAGCGGCGAGCGAACGGGGAUCAGCCCAUUAAGUUAUGUGUGUUUUAGUGGAACGCUCUGGGAAGUGCGAACGUAGAGGGUGAUAUUCCCGUACACGAAAGGGCACACAUAAUGAUGACGAGUAGGGCGAGGCACGUGAAACCUUGUCUGAAUAUGGGGGGACCAUCCUCCAAGGCUAAAUACUCCUGACUGACCGAUAGUGAACCAGUACCGUGAGGGAAAGGCGAAAAGAACCCCUGUGAGGGGAGUGAAAUAGAUCCUGAAACCGCAUGCAUACAAGCAGUGGGAGCACCUUCGUGGUGUGACUGCGUACCUUUUGUAUAAUGGGUCAGCGACUUAUAUUCAGUAGCAAGGUUAACCGUAUAGGGGAGCCGUAGAGAAAUCGAGUCUUAAUAGGGCGUUUAGUUGCUGGGUAUAGACCCGAAACCAGGCGAUCUAUCCAUGAGCAGGUUGAAGGUUGGGUAACACUAACUGGAGGACCGAACCCACUGUCGUUGAAAAGCCAGGGGAUGACUUGUGGAUAGGGGUGAAAGGCUAAUCAAGCCUGGUGAUAGCUGGUUCUCCCCGAAAGCUAUUUAGGUAGCGCCUCGGACGAAUACCAUAGGGGGUAGAGCACUGUUUCGGCUAGGGGGUCAUCCCGACUUACCAAACCGAUGCAAACUCCGAAUACCUAUGAGUACUAUCCGGGAGACAGACUGCGGGUGCUAACGUCCGUAGUCAAGAGGAAAACAAUCCAGACCGCCAGCUAAGGCCCCAAAAUCAUAGUUAAGUGGGAAACGAUGUGGGAAGGCAUAGACAGCUAGGAGGUUGGCUUAGAAGCAGCCACCCUUUAAAGAAAGCGUAAUAGCUCACUAGUCGAGUCGGCCUGCGCGGAAGAUGUAACGGGGCUAAAACUAUGUGCCGAAGCUGCGGAUNNNNNNNNNNNNNNNNNNNNNNNNNNNNNNNNNNNNNNNNNNNNNNNNNNNNNNNNNNNNNNNNNNNNNUGCUGGAGGUAUCAGAAGUGCGAAUGCUGACGUGAGUAACGACAAAACGGGUGAAAAACCCGUUCGCCGAAAGACCAAGGGUUCCAGUCCAACGUUAAUCGGGGCUGGGUGAGUCGACCCCUAAGGCGAGGCCGAAAGGCGUAGUCGAUGGGAAAAUGGUUAAUAUUCCAUUACUUCUGUGUAAUGCGAUGAGAGGACGGAGAAGGCUAAAUCAGCCUGGCGUUGGUUGUCCAGGUGAAAGGAUGUAGGCAUGUAUCUUAGGCAAAUCCGGGGUACUCUAUGCUGAGAUCUGAUAGCAAGCUGUACUUGUACAGCGAAGUGGUUGAUGCCAUGCUUCCAGGAAAAGUCUCUAAGCUUCAGUUACACAGGAAUCGUACCCGAAACCGACACAGGUGGUCAGGUCGAGUAGACCAAGGCGCUUGAGAGAACUCUGCUGAAGGAACUAGGCAAAAUGGUACCGUAACUUCGGGAGAAGGUACGCUGUUGUUGGUGAUGGAACUCGCUUCCUGAGCUGACGACAGCCGCAGAAACCAGGCCGCUGCAACUGUUUAUUAAAAACAUAGCACUCUGCAAACACGAAAGUGGACGUAUAGGGUGUGAUGCCUGCCCGGUGCUGGAAGGUUAAUUGAUGGGGUUAGCGUAAGCGAAGCUCUUGAUCGAAGCCCCAGUAAACGGCGGCCGUAACUAUAACGGUCCUAAGGUAGCGAAAUUCCUUGUCGGGUAAGUUCCGACCUGCACGAAUGGCAUAAUGAUGGCGGCGCUGUCUCCAGCAGAGGCUCAGUGAAAUCGAAAUCGCUGUGAAGAUGCAGUGUACCCGCGGCUAGACGGAAAGACCCCGUGAACCUUUACUGCAGCUUGACACUGAACUUUGACCUUACUUGUGUAGGAUAGGUGGGAGGCUUUGAAGCUGGAACGCUAGUUCCAGUGGAGCCGUCCUUGAAAUACCACCCUGGUAAUGUUGAGGUUCUAACUCUGUCCCGUGAUCCGGGACGAGGACCGUGUCUGGUGGGUAGUUUGACUGGGGCGGUCUCCUCCUAAAGAGUAACGGAGGAGUACGAAGGUGCGCUCAGCGUGGUCGGAAAUCACGCGUAGAGUAUAAAGGCAAAAGCGCGCUUAACUGCGAGACCCACAAGUCGAGCAGGUACGAAAGUAGGUCUUAGUGAUCCGGUGGUUCUGUAUGGAAGGGCCAUCGCUCAACGGAUAAAAGGUACUCUGGGGAUAACAGGCUGAUACCGCCCAAGAGUUCAUAUCGACGGCGGUGUUUGGCACCUCGAUGUCGGCUCAUCUCAUCCUGGGGCUGAAGCAGGUCCCAAGGGUAUGGCUGUUCGCCAUUUAAAGAGGUACGCGAGCUGGGUUUAGAACGUCGUGAGACAGUUCGGUCCCUAUCUACCGUGGGCGCUGGAAAUUUGAGAGGAUCUGCUCCUAGUACGAGAGGACCAGAGUGGACGAACCUCUGGUGUACCGGUUGUGACGCCAGUCGCAUCGCCGGGUAGCUAUGUUCGGAAGGGAUAACCGCUGAAAGCAUCUAAGCGGGAAGCCUACCUCAAGAUAAGAUUUCCCUAGGACUUUAUGUCCUCUAAAGAGCCGUUCGAGACUAGGACGUUGAUAGGUUGGAUGUGGAAGCAUAGUGAUAUGUGAAGCUGACCAAUACUAAUUGCUCGUGAGGCUUGACUAUACAACACCCAAGCAGUUG
rnacentral:rRNA from 1 species